rnacentral:rRNA from 1 species
UGUAGUCUCGCACAGAUGCAUAUCAAUAAGCGGAGGAAAAGAAACUAACAAGGAUUCCCCUAGUAACGGCGAGUGAAGCGGGAAGAGCUCAAAUUUGAAAUCUUAAAGGGUUUCCCUUUACGAAUUGUAGUUUAAAGAAGUGUUUUCUGUUGAGGUUUUGGUAAAAGUUCUUUGGAAUAGGACAUCAUAGAGGGUGAGAAUCCCGUAUUUGACCUUUACUUUCAACUUUGUGAUACACUUUCAAAGAGUCGGAUUGUUUGGGAAUGCAGUCCAAAAUGGGUGGUAAAUUUCAUCUAAAGCUAAAUAUUGGCGAGAGACCGAUAGCGAACAAGUACCGUGAGGGAAAGAUGAAAAGAACUUUGAAAAGAGAGUUAAACAGUACGUGAAAUUGUCAAAAGGGAAGCGUUUGACACCAGUGUUGUUUUCUCGAAAAUCAAUUAAAAAGAGUUAGAUUUUGUUGUGUAUUGACCUUAACAGCUUGCAUUUCAAUUUUCUUGCUUUUUUUAGUGCACUUUUCGUUUAACAAGUCAACAUCAGUUUCUUUUGUUGUAAAAAGGUCAUUGGAAGGUGGCUUUCUUUUCGGAGAAAGUGUUUAUAGCCUUUGACUCCUGCAAUCGGAGAGACUGAGGUCUGCAGCGUAGAUCCUUCGGGGUUAGAUACAUUUGUGCUAAGUUAUAGCUUUUUAUAGACAACUUGUUGACUAUGAUUAGUCUUGUAGCUUACUCGCUUAUGCUAUUUUACCUACGCUUAGGAUGUUGAUGUGAUACUGCGAGCA